rnacentral:rRNA from 1 species
UACGGAGGAUGCAGGCGUUAUCCGGAUUUAUUAGGUUUAAAGGGUGCGUAGGCGGGACUAUAAGUCAGUGGUGAAAACCUGCAGCUUAACUGUAGAACUGCCAUUGGUACUGUAGACCUUGAAUUUAGUUGAAGUAGGCGGAAUGUGUAGUGUAGCGGUGAAAUGCUUAGAUAUUACACAGAACACCAAUUGCGAAGGCAGCUUACUAAGCUAACAUUGACGCUGAUGCACGAAAGCGUGGGUAGCGAACAGGAUUAGAUACCCUGGUAGUCCACGCCGUAAACGAUGAUAACUCGUUGUUGGCGAUACACAGUCAGCGACUGAGCGAAAGCAUUAAGUGAUCCACCUGGGGAGUACGGUCGCAAGACUGAA